AAUUUAAAGUGGCCUUUUUAGAGGAGAAACACUUCGAGUCUUGGACAGAGAGAGCGAGAGGAAGCCCUAGAAGCUUCGUGUAUUUCUCUUUUCUGCGAUUUUUUGUUUCUGAGAAGGCGAGGAAUAAUGGCGGGUUUGAGGAGCUCGAGCUUAGCUUCAAUGGCCGUUAUUGCCCUGGUUUUUGCACUGGUUUGUGGUGCGUUUGCCGCUGAAUCGCCUGCUCCUUCCCCUGAUUCGGGCGCUGUUGAAAUCAUACCCGGAAUUAUUGGUGGUGUGGUCAUCUCUGUAAUGGCGUUCUUCUUUGGGACCUUUUUUAACUGAGGAUGGUGGCGUUGUGUCUGGUUUGGUAUGGCGAAAUUCUCAAGAGUUCGACUGAUGAUAUAUAUGAUAUGAAGUAUAUGUUAUAUUACAUGUAGGUCGUAGAGCCUACCUUCAAAUAAUGUCGAGUUUUCACUUUCAAUUAGUGUCGAGUUGUAAAUCUCUGUUACAGCCUUGAAAUAUAUUUUCAUAUUUAUUUAUAGGGAAGGUUUCUAUAUCU